UGGGGAAUUUUGGACAAUGGGCGAAAGCCUGAUCCAGCAAUGCCGCGUGUGUGAAGAAGGCCUUCGGGUUGUAAAGCACUUUUGUCCGGAAAGAAAUCCUUGGCUCUAAUACAGUCGGGGGAUGACGGUACCGGAAGAAUAAGCACCGGCUAACUACGUGCCAGCAGCCGCGGUAAUACGUAGGGUGCAAGCGUUAAUCGGAAUUACUGGGCGUAAAGCGUGCGCAGGCGGUUUGCUAAGACCGAUGUGAAAUCCCCGGGCUCAACCUGGGAACUGCAUUGGUGACUGGCAGGCUAGAGUAUGGCAGAGGGGGGUAGAAUUCCACGUGUAGCAGUGAAAUGCGUAGAGAUGUGGAGGAAUACCGAUGGCGAAGGCAGCCCCCUGGGCCAAUACUGACGCUCAUGCACGAAAGCGUGGGGAGCAAACAGGGUUAGAUACCCUGGUAGUCCACGCCCUAAAACGAUGUCAACUAGUUGUUGGGGAUUCAUUUCCUUAGUAACGUAGCUAACGCGUGAAGUUGACCGCCUGGGGAGUACGGUCGCAAGAUUAAAACUCAAAUGAAUUGACGGGGUCAUAGCUGUUUCCU
rnacentral:rRNA from 1 species